AUGCUCCGUCGCCUCCUACUCCGCCGAGCUCGUCGGCGCCAUUGCUCCUCCUCAUUCUCCUCCGCCUUGCCCCUCUCUUCGCCGACCUUUGCCGUCUUCGGCGCCAACACCGGCGUCGGCAAGACCCUCGUCUCCGCGGGCCUCGCUGCCUCCCUCCUCCGUUCCCACGCCGCCUCCCCCUCCGCCGUCCUCUACCUCAAACCGCUCCAGACCGGCUUCCCCGCCGAUUCCGACGCGGGGUUCCUCUACCGCAGGGUCCCCGCGCUUGUCCGCCCCUCCCACGCCGCGCACCUCGUCGCCUCCAUCGACACCCUCUCCCCUGCCCCGUCAGUGGAAACCCCAUCCUCUUCCCGCGAGGAGGCGGCCUUCUCCUACGAUGGGGAGGGUAAGGCGGUGAGGAAGCUUCUGGCUUGCAGGACGCUGUACGCAUGGCGGGAGGCGGUGUCGCCGCACCUUGCGGCGGAGAGGGAGGGGAUGACGGUAGAAGACGCGCAUGUGAGGUCGCUCCUGGCGGCGUGCCUCUCCGAGGGGGAAAAUUUGGGGAAGGGGGAGGGGGAUGUGUGGAAGCUGGUCGAGACCGCCGGCGGCGUGGCCAGCCCGGGCCCGUCUGGCACGCUGCAGUGCGAUCUCUACCGGCACUUUAGGUUGCCUACUAUUCUUGUUGGAGAUGGCCGUCUUGGUGGUAUUUCAGGCACUUUAUCGGCAUAUGAAACUCUGUUGCUCAGGGGGUAUGAUGUUAGCGCAGUAAUUUUGGAAGAUUGUGGUUUGUCAAACGACAAGUUCUUGCUUUCUUACUUGAGAAAUAGGGUACCAGUGCUUGUUUUGCCACCUAUUCCAGAAGAUCCAUCAGAUGACCUAACUGAUUGGUUUUCCGAAUCAUCUUCAGUUUUUGGUUUGCUUGAAGAUGCCCUGCGAUCUUUUCAUUUGAAAAGAAUUCAGAGGUUAAACAGUAUGCAAAGAAAAUCAAAGGAUUUACUGUGGUGGCCCUUCACUCAGCACAAUCUUGUACCUGUAGAUUGUGUUACAGUAAUUGAUUCGCGUUGUGGUGAGAGUUUUUCAGCAUACAAGGUGAAAGACAGCAAGAUGAUGAUGAUCCCUCAGUUUGAUGCAUGUGCAAGUUGGUGGACUCAAGGACCUGAUUCUAAGUUGCAGAUUGAACUUGCAAGAGAUAUGGGCUACGCUGCUGCUAGGUAUGGCCAUGUGAUGUUUCCAGAGAAUGCUCAUGAGCCUGCUCUUCGUUGUGCUGAACUUUUGCUUGGGGGAAUUGGUAAAGAUUGGGCUUCCAGAGUUUAUUAUUCGGACAAUGGAUCAACGGCAAUUGAAAUAGCUCUAAAGAUGGCAUUUCGCAAGUUUUCACUUGAUCGUGGAAUUCUACUCGAUAGUGACAAGAGUAUCACCAACGAAAGAAAUAUUCAGUUAAAGGUCCUUGCUCUAAAAGGUUCAUAUCAUGGUGAUACCCUGGGUGCUAUGGAAGCUCAAGCUCCAUCAGCCUAUACAUCGUUCCUUCAGCAGCCAUGGUAUUCUGGGCGGGGACUUUUUCUAGAUCCUCCAACAGUGUUCAUAAGAAAUGGGACAUGCGCACUUUCUUUGCCCCAGUCGAUACAGAACUGUCAUCUGAGUCCUGGUGAUAAAUGUUUUCCUUCAUUAGCUGAUGUCUUUUGCAAGAGUAGGGACUCAUCAGCUGCAGCUGAUUUAUACUCAACCUACAUAUCCCAACAACUAUCAGAAUAUUCCGUGUCAAGUAACAUAGAGCAUAUUGCAGCACUUAUUAUAGAACCAGUGAUACAAGGUGCUGGGGGAAUGCACAUGAUAGAUCCACUUUUCCAGCGAGUACUUGUCCAUGAGUGUAGAGACCGAAAAAUACCUGUCAUAUUCGAUGAGGUCUUUACAGGGUUCUGGCGUCUUGGUGUGGAGUCUGCUUCAGAGUUGCUCGGCUGCUUACCUGAUGUUGCAUGCUAUGCUAAAUUGAUGACUGGUGGGAUAGUACCAUUAGCUGCAACGGUAACAACAGAAGCAGUUUUUGAGGCCUUCAAAAGUGACUCUAAGCUUACAGCGCUUUUACAUGGCCAUUCCUACACUGCUCAUGCCAUGGGCUGUUCUGCGGCAGUAAAAGCUAUCCAAUGGUUUAGAGAUCCGUCCACAAAUUCAAAUCUCGAUUUUGAUCGUAUGAAGCUCAAGGAGCUAUGGGAUGGCACACUUGUGAACCAGUUAUCGUCACUACCAAAUGUAAAGAGAGUAGUCUCCUUGGGAACUCUGUGUGCAAUUGAGCUGCAGGCCGAGGGAUCUGAUGCCGGGUAUGCGUCGUUGUAUGCGAGAUCCCUGAUCCAGCAACUUCGAGAAGAGGAUGAUAUCUAUGUGAGGCCCCUGGGCAACGUGAUAUACCUAAUGUGUGGUCCUUGCACGACCAGAGAUGUCUGCACGGAACAACUCUCCAAAGUGUACCGUAGAAUCAGCCACUUCAAUCCAAUUCACUGA
rnacentral:rRNA from 1 species